UACUGAGGAUAACCUCUGCUGUUUAGAGGAGCUCUGCGCCUCACUUCUCCGCCGCCGAAUGCUGAGGAGUUACAAGAGAGACGCGGUAACAACAUGAAAGCAGCAGGAAAUAGAUCAGUAAAUACACAGCAGCGCUGUUUAAAGAGUGGCUCGGAAAACACUGCGAUUGUGUUUUUCCGAAACCAGGAAAAAUAGCAGGCAAGAAGAGCCGGCGACUGCAGAGGCAGAGGCUGAAAACCUGUGCACAGAAUCUUUAUGAGGACACAUCUAGAGGGGAGUCAGUUUCUCCUCCUGUCAGAUAAGCAAGAAGACGAUGAAGCUGCAGCGGGCGCACACAACUGUGAAGGACUCAGUUCUGAGGAGUCACUCUUCAAGCAUGGCGGCGCCGUGUGAGCUGCAACCCCCGCCAAAGAUUCCAGGAGACUUGAAAUACCUUUUUUAGUCGGAAGCGUCACGGCGGAACAACAUUCCCCCCAGCUGUUUAUUGGCAACAAAAUAAACUAAAAUAACUUCA